GAGGGUAUAGCUCAGUGGUAGAGUACAUGCUUAGCAUGCAGGAGGUCCUGGGUUCAAUCCCCAGUACCUCUG
rnacentral:tRNA from 1 species